rnacentral:piRNA from 1 species
UCUCAAUAGGUUUGAUGAACCUCAGUGCCC